rnacentral:rRNA from 1 species
GAUGAACGCUGGCGGCGUGCCUAAUACAUGCAAGUCGAGCGAACAGACGAGGAGCUUGCUCCUCUGACGUUAGCGGCGGACGGGUGAGUAACACGUGGAUAACCUACCUAUAAGACUGGGAUAACUUCGGGAAACCGGAGCUAAUACCGGAUAAUAUAUUGCACCGCAUGGUUCAAUAGUGAAAGACGGUUUUGCUGUCACUUAUAGAUGGAUCCGCGCCGCAUUAGCUAGUUGGUAAGGUAACGGCUUACCAAGGCGACGAUGCGUAGCCGACCUGAGAGGGUGAUCGGCCACACUGGAACUGAGACACGGUCCAGACUCCUACGGGAGGCAGCAGUAGGGAAUCUUCCGCGAUGGGCGAAAGCCUGACGGAGCAACGCCGCGUGAGUGAUGAAGGUCUUCGGAUCGUAAAACUCUGUUAUUAGGGAAGAACAAAUGUGUAAGUAACUAUGCACGUCUUGACGGUACCUAAUCAGAAAGCCACGGCUAACUACGUG